GAGUUUGAUCGUGGCUCAGAGCGAACGCUGGCGGCAGGCCUAACACAUGCAAGUCGAACGAACUCUUCGGAGUUAGUGGCGGACGGGUGAGUAACACGUGGGAACGUGCCUUUUGGUUCGGAAUAACUCAGGGAAACUUGUGCUAAUACCGAAUGUGCCCUUCGGGGAAGGAUUAUCGCCAUUAGAGCGGCCCGCCGUCUGAUUAGCUAGUUGGUGAGGUAAAGGCUCACCAAGGCGGCGAUCAGUAGCUGGUCUGAGAGGAUGAUCAGCCACAUUGGGACUGAGACACGGCCCAAACUCCUACGGGAGGCAGCAGUGGGGAAUCUUGCGCAAUGGGCGAAAGCCUGACGCAGCCAUGCCGCGUGAAUGAUGAAGGUCUUAGGAUUGUAAAAUUCUUUCACCGGGGACGAUAAUGACGGUACCCGGAGAAGAAGCCCCGGCUAACUUCGUGCCAGCCGCCGCCGUAAG
rnacentral:rRNA from 1 species